rnacentral:rRNA from 1 species
UACAGGGGGUGCAAACGUUGCUCGGAAUCAUUGGGCGUAAAGCGCACGUAGGCGGUCUGCUAUGUCGGAUGUGAAAGCCCUUGGCUCAACUGAGGAAGUGCAUCCGAAACUGGCAGGCUAGAGUACUAAAGAGGAUCGCGGAAUUCCCGGUGUAGAGGUGAAAUUCGUAGAUAUCGGGAGGAACACCGGUGGCGAAGGCGGCGAUCUGGGUAGAUACUGACGCUGAGGUGCGAAAGCGUGGGGAGCAAACAGG